rnacentral:antisense_RNA from 1 species
CUAUGGUGCCAACUCUUUUGCUGUGCCAGCACAGAGGCCUCCAGAGCGACUCUCCUGAAUCAGAUGCAGGGGCUGUUUGCAGUUUCGUUUCCACGCUUCGCUGACUGGUUAGACAGUGAUCACAGGUUUGGAAGCACACGCCUCACCACAGCGGAGGAGGCCUCUACUCUGAAGCGGGAUUCCACACUCCUGCACCCUAAGAUCCGCUAGACUCUCUGCCUUGUUUCAUCUUUCUUUUCCUAAAGAAUCAUGGGGAGAAUUGACCUCUCUGGGACUCAACUGUGGCUGGAAGGGGACAGGAGAAGCCCUUUCUGGAGGACAGCUGAGCCCUGCAGCUGCCAUCCUGCCUGGCAGGCUAGGGCUGGGCUGUGGGAAGGCCCCCCAGGAGGCUUGGCUGGGCAGGCUCUGUGAAGCCCGAGGUGGCUGCAACUCAUUCUAGUGAUGGACACCAAGUCAGCGGGCUCCUCUCUCCAGUUCCUCGACAUCCCCGGAGGCCCCUGCUCCUGCAGCCCUAGCCUUGGAGCUGAUGCUUC